GUCCCAGUUCGGAUCGCAGGNUGCAACCCGCCUGCGUGAAGUUGGAAUCGCUAGUAAUCGCGGAUCAGCAUGCCGCGGUGAAUACGUUCCCGGGCCUUGUACACACCGCCCGUCACACCAUGAGAGUCGGGAACACCCGAAGUCCGUAGCCUAACCGCAAGGGGGGCGCGGCCGAAGGUGGGUUCGAUAAUUGGGGUGAAGUCGUAACAAGGUAGC
rnacentral:rRNA from 1 species